rnacentral:rRNA from 1 species
CAGUAGCCGCGGUAAUACGUAGGUCCCGAGCGUUGUCCGGAUUUAUUGGGCGUAAAGGGAGCGCAGGCGGUUUAGUAAGUCUGAAGUUAAAGGCAUUGGCUCAACCAAUGUAUGCUUUGGAAACUGUUAGACUUGAGUGCAGAAGGGGAGAGUGGAAUUCCAUGUGUAGCGGUGAAAUGCGUAGAUAUAUGGAGGAGCACCGGUGGCGAAAGCGGCUCUCUGGUCUGUCACUGACGCUGAGGCUCGAAAGCGUGGGUAGCGAACAGGAUUAGAUACCCCCGUAGUCCCUGUCUCUUAUACA